rnacentral:rRNA from 1 species
CCUACGGGAGACAGCAGUGAGGAAUAUUGGUCAAUGGCCGUAAGGCUGACCCAGCCAAGUCGCGUGAAGGAAGAAGGAUCUCUGGUUUGUAACCUUCUUUUAUAGGGGAGUAAAGGUAUCCACGUGUGGAUCUUUGCAUGUACCCUAUGAAUAAGCAUCGGCUAACUCCGUGCCAGCAGCCGCGGUAAUACGGAGGGUGCGAGCGUUAUCCGGAUUUAUUGGGUUUAAGGGGUGCGUAGGUUGUUUUUUAAGUCAGCGGUGAAAGUUUGUGGCUCAACCAUAAAAUUGCCGUUGAAACUGGAAAACUGGAGUGUGUUUGAGGUAGGCGGAAUUCGAGGUGUAGGAGUGAAAUGCAUAGAUAUCACGCAGAACUCCGAUUGCGAAGGCAGCUUACUAAGCCAUAACUGACACUGAGGCACGAAAGCGUGGGGAGCAAACAGGAUUAGAUACCCUAGUAGUC